UUUUCCCUGCGGUGUUCGUGAAGGCAUACAUUCCUUUGAACCAAUAAAGUUUGCUUCAGGUUGUCGGGAGCUGCAACAGGUGAGCGCGUUCCGCUUGCGGAAUGUACCCGAAGUUGCCCGAGAUGACCGCCUUGUGUACAAGGUUCAAGCGGACUCAGCCGAAUCGGCAUCUGCGGGGUUCUA
rnacentral:other from 1 species